AGAACGAACGCUGGCGGCAGGCCUCAAACAUGCAAGUCUAGGGGGUGUAGCAAUACAUCACCGGCGGACGGGUGCGUAACACGUGGGAAUAUACCUUUUGGUUCGGAACAACGCAGGGAAACUUGCGCUAAUACCGAAUGUGCCCUUACGGGGAAAGAUUUAUCGCCAAAGGAUUAGCCCGCGUAGGAUUAGCUAGUUGGUGAGGUAAUGGCUCACCAAGGCUCCGAUCCUUAGCUGUUCUGAGAGGAAGAUCAGCCACACUGGGACUGAGACACGGCCCAGACUCCUACGGGAGGCAGCAGUUGGGAAUCUUGGACAAUGGGGAAACCCUGAUCCAGCCAUGCCGCGUGAGUGAUGAAGGCCUUCGGGUUGUAAAACUCUUUCGGACGGGGACGAUAAUGACGGUACCCGUAGAAGAAGCUCCGGCUAACUUCGUGCCAGCAGCCGC
rnacentral:rRNA from 1 species